rnacentral:tRNA from 12 species
GUGUAGCUCAGUUGGCAGGGAGCUCUCCUAAUGAGCAUAAGGUUGUGGGUUCGAUCCCCGCCUG